CUUGCAGCAGGCCGAGGAGGAAGAAGAGGGGCAGUGGGAGCAGAGGAGGUGGCUCCUGCCCCAGUGAGAGCUCUGAGGGUCCCUGCCUGAAGAGGGACAGGGACCGGGUCUUGGAGAAGGGGCUGUGGAAUGCAGCCCCCUUCACUGCUGCUGCUGCUGCUGCUGCUGCUAUGUGUCUCAGUGGUCAUACCCAGAGGGCUGCUGUGUGGGAGUUUCCCAGAACCCUGUGCCAAUGGAGGCACCUGCUUGAGCCUGUCUCUGGGACAAGGGACCUGCCAGUGUGCCCCUGGCUUCCUGGGUGAGACGUGCCAGUUUCCUGACCCCUGCCAGAACGCCCAGCUCUGCCAAAAUGGAGGCAGCUGCCAAGCCCUGCUUCCCGCUCCCCUAGGACUCCCCAGCUCUCCCUCUCCAUUGACACCCAGCUUCUUGUGCACUUGCCUCCCUGGCUUCACUGGUGAGAGAUGCCAGGCCCAGCUUGAAGACCCUUGUCCUCCCUCCUUCUGUUCCAAAAGGGGCCGCUGCCACAUCCAGGCCUCGGGCCGCCCACAGUGCUCCUGCAUGCCUGGAUGGACAGGUGAGCAGUGCCAGCUUCGGGACUUCUGUUCAGCCAACCCAUGUGUUAAUGGAGGGGUGUGUCUGGCCACGUACCCCCAGAUCCAGUGCCACUGCCCACCGGGCUUCGAGGGCCAUGCCUGUGAACGUGAUGUCAACGAGUGCUUCCAGGACCCAGGACCCUGCCCCAAAGGCACCUCCUGCCAUAACACCCUGGGCUCCUUCCAGUGCCUCUGCCCUGUGGGGCAGGAGGGUCCACGUUGUGAGCUGCGGGCAGGACCCUGCCCUCCUAGGGGCUGUUCGAAUGGGGGCACCUGCCAGCUGAUGCCAGGGAAAGACUCCACCUUUCACCUCUGCCUCUGUCCCCCAGGUUUCUUAGGCCCGGACUGUGAGGUGAAUCCAGACAACUGUGUCAGCCACCAAUGUCAGAAUGGGGGCACUUGCCAGGAUGGGCUGGACACCUACACCUGCCUCUGCCCAGAAACCUGGACAGGCUGGGACUGCUCCGAAGAUGUGGAUGAGUGUGAGACCCAGGGUCCCCCUCACUGCAGAAACGGGGGCACCUGCCAGAACUCUGCUGGUAGCUUUCACUGUGUGUGUGUGAGUGGCUGGGGGGGCACAAGCUGUGAGGAGAACCUGGAUGACUGUAUUGCUGCCACCUGUGCCCCGGGAUCCACCUGCAUUGACCGGGUGGGCUCUUUCUCCUGCCUCUGCCCACCUGGACGCACAGGACUCCUGUGCCACUUGGAAGACAUGUGUCUGAGCCAGCCGUGCCAUGGGGAUGCCCAAUGCAGCACCAACCCCCUCACAGGCUCCACACUCUGCCUGUGUCAGCCUGGCUAUUCGGGGCCCACCUGCCACCAGGACCUGGAUGAGUGUCUGAUGGCCCAGCAAGGCCCAAGUCCCUGUGAACAUGGCGGUUCCUGCCUCAACACUCCUGGCUCCUUCAACUGCCUCUGUCCACCUGGCUACACAGGCUCCCGUUGUGAGGCUGAUCACAAUGAGUGCCUCUCCCAGCCCUGCCACCCAGGAAGCACCUGUCUGGACCUACUUGCCACCUUCCACUGCCUCUGCCCGCCAGGCUUAGAAGGGCAGCUCUGUGAGGUGGAGACCAACGAGUGUGCCUCAGCUCCCUGCCUGAACCACGCGGAUUGCCAUGACCUGCUCAAUGGCUUCCAGUGCAUCUGCCUGCCUGGAUUCUCCGGCACCCGAUGUGAGGAGGAUAUCGAUGAGUGCAGAAGCUUUCCCUGUGCCAAUGGUGGGCAGUGCCAGGACCAGCCUGGAGCCUUCCACUGCAAGUGUCUCCCAGGCUUUGAAGGGCCACGCUGUCAAACAGAGGUGGAUGAGUGCCUGAGUGACCCAUGUCCCGUUGGAGCCAGCUGCCUUGAUCUUCCAGGAGCCUUCUUUUGCCUCUGCCCCUCUGGUUUCACAGGUUCACAGGGGAGGCAUUGGAAAGAACUGGCAGAAUAUUUUAUUCCAUUUGGGUUGGGGCAGAGUUCAUUGGUGGGUGUUUGAUGGUUGGGAUGUGAGAAUAGAAUGAGAAUGGUAUCCUUUAAAGUUAUUUAGUGUAAAACCUGCACAAUUGUACAACCAUGGGGACAAGGGCAGGGGUUACCGUAGGGCCCACAUGGGCCCAGUGUAAAUGGUGUGAUUGCGGCUUGGGAGCAGAAGACGGGGCUCAAAGAAAAGGCAUUCACUUGCUUAUUUAGCAAGCACUUACCAACUGCCUACUAUGCCAGAUACGGAGGCAAAUCUGAGUAAGACAGUUGCCAUCUUCAUGUGACUUUAAGUCUAAUACAGAGAGACCAACAAGUCUCCUGUUGAUCAUAGCCCACAGAGGUGCUCUGAGAGAAAAACGUGCAGGAUAUUACAAGAGCACAGAGGACCAGCCAACCCAGACUAAAAAUGGAGGAGGUGAUGGCUGAGAUGAGUCUUGAAAGAUAAGCAGAGGCUGGGCGUGGUGGCUCACGCCUAUAGUCCCAGCACUUCGGGAAGCCGAGGCUGGUGGAUCACCUGAGAUUAGGAGUUCGAGAUCAGCCUGGCCAACAUGGUGAAACCUCGUCUCUAUUAAAAAUACAAAAAUUACACUUUGGGAGGCCGAGGCGGGUGGAUGAUGAGGUCAGGAGAUCGACACUAUCCUGGCUAACAUGGUGAAACCCCGUCUCAACUAAAAAUACAAAAAAUUAACUGGGCGUGGUGGCGGGCGCCUAUAGUCCCAGCUACUCCAGAGGCUGAGGCAGGAGAAUGGCGUGAACCCGGGAGGCGGAGCUUGCAGUGAGCUGAGAUCACGCCACUGCACUCCAGCCUGGGUGGCAGAGUAAGACUCCACCUCAAAAAAAAAAAAAAAAAAAUACAAAAAUUAGCCAGGCGUGGUGGUGGGCGCCUGCAAUCCCAGCUAUUGGGGAGGCUGAGGCAAGAGAAUCGCUUGAACCUGGGAAGCAGUGGUUGCAGUGAGCCAAGAUCACUCCACUGCACUCCAGCCUGGGUGACAGAGCAAGAUUCCAUCUCAAAAAAAAAAGAA
rnacentral:sRNA from 1 species